rnacentral:rRNA from 1 species
AUGUUUACGAUGAAUGUGCCCAAAUUCUUGUGGAGUGAAGCAGUUAUGACAGCCACAUACUUGAUCAACAGGACACCAUCAAGAAUACUAAGCAUGAAAUCUCCGUGUGAGCUAGUAUAUGGAGAAACUAAGUUUGUUGUUCCCCCAAAGUUGUUUGGCAGUACUUGUUUUGUUCGAGAUCACCGUCCUUCUGUUGGAAAACUUGAUCCGCGGGCAGUGAAGUGUAUUUUUCUGGGCUAUUCUUCUAGUCAGCAGGGAUAUAAAUGUUGGUGUCCCUCAGAGAAACGCAGGUUUGUCAGUAUGGACGUAACCUUCAGGGAGUCUGAGCCAUUCUAUGGUGAGCCAACAGAUCUAAGUGUGUUGUUUCAAGAGCUUGACCAUUUCCACUCUGUGCAAGAUGGUCAAGAGGGGGAGAAGGCUGUAUCUCACACUCACGCGGAUUCUGUGGGCACUAACAUUGAUGAUGAUGAUGUGCAGGUUCAAGUCCAGCCAAUUGUGGGUACAAUUUCGGUUGGUACUCUCACUGAUGGUGAUGUGCAGGUACGGGUCCAACCAACCGUGGGUUCCAUUCAGAUUGGUAAUCUCCAGCUCCCUGUUCGAGAUCGGUGGCAGAAGAUCCCCCUAGUGUACUCUCGGCGAGAGCCACAAGUGCCACAGGUGCAUGACUCAUCUGACACUCGUCUGGUAUAUUCUCGGCGGCAGCCACUUGUGCAGGAGGGGGAGCAACAAGUGCAGGGGGAGCAGUCAGUGCAGGGGGAGCAGCAAGGCAGUGGUGCAAGCUCAUCUGACACAGUGGAGCUACCUAUUGCGUUGCGAAAGGGGACACGUGAAGCGGCUGAGAAGGCUUUACCACUGGAGUUUUUGGAUGAUCAUGACAUUGGAAAUUUUGUGUCUUAUGAGGCUUUGUCUCCUUCCUAUAGAGUGUUUGUUGCCUCUCUUCAAACUGUGUCAAUCCCAAAGGAUUGGAAGGCUGCAAAGCAAGAUCCGAAGUGGCAUGAAGCAAUGAUAGAAGAGUUGGAAGCACUGAGGAAAAAUAAGACGUGGGUGCUAACCACAUUGCCGGCAGGAAAGAAAGCAGUGAGUUGUAAGUGGAUCUAUACAGUGAAGCAGAAUCCUGAGGGGAAGGUGGAACGGUAUAAGGCCAGAUUGGUCGCCAGAGGAUAUAGUCAAACUUAUGGAAUUGACUAUGACGAGACGUUUGCUCCAGUGGCAAAGAUGAACACAGUAAGAAUAUUGGUUUCCUGUGCUGCAAACUUUGGGUGGAAAUUGCAUCAAUUAGAUGUCAAGAAUGCCUUCUUGCAUGGUGAGUUGCAGGAAGAAGUGUACAUGGAGAUACCACCAGGUUUUGGUACUUCACUGACAACGGGGAAGGUAUGCAGGCUGAAGAAAUCCUUGUAUGGACUGAAGCAAUCGCCGAGGGCUUGGUUUGAUAGGUUCAGGCGUGCUGUCCGUGCUAUGGGGUAUGGUCAAUGUAAUGGUGAUCACACGGUGUUCUACAGACACUCACUCUCUAAUCGAAAGAUCACCAUUCUUGCAGUUUAUGUGGACGACAUUAUCAUCACCGGAGAUGAUGAGGAGGAAAUAAAGAGAUUGAAGGGGUGUCUGAGCAAUGAGUUUGAGGUGAAGGAUUUGGGCAACCUAAAAUACUUCCUUGGGAUUGAAGUGGCCCGGACA